UACGGUGAAUACGUUCCCGGACCUUGUACACACCGCCCGUCAAGCCAUGGAAGCGUGGGUGUACCUAAAGUCGGUAACCGCAAGGAGCCGCCUAGGGUAAAACUAAGUAACUGGGGCU
rnacentral:rRNA from 1 species